UACGAAGGGGGCUAGCGUUGCUCGGAAUCACUGGGCGUAAAGCGCACGUAGGCGGAUUGCUAAGUCAGGGGUGAAAUCCUGGAGCUCAACUCCAGAACUGCCUUUGAUACUGGCGAUCUUGAGUCCGGGAGAGGUGAGUGGAACUGCGAGUGUAGAGGUGAAAUUCGUAGAUAUUCGCAAGAACACCAGUGGCGAAGGCGGCUCACUGGCCCGGUACUGACGCUCAUGCACGAAAGCGUGGGGAGCAAACAGG
rnacentral:rRNA from 1 species